UAAUACGUAGGGUCCAAGCGUUAAUCGGAAUUACUGGGCGUAAAGCGUGCGCAGGUGGUUUGUUAAGCACGAUGUGAAAUCCCCGAGCUCAACUUGGGAAUUGCAUUGUGAACUGGCUAACUAGAGUACGGCAGAGGGGGGUGGAAUUCCACGUGUAGCAGUGAAAUGCGUAGAGAUGUGGAGGAACACCGAUGGCGAAGGCAACCCCCUGGGCUGAUACUGACACUCAUGCACGAAAGCGUGGGGAGCAAACAGG
rnacentral:rRNA from 1 species